rnacentral:sRNA from 1 species
ACAGGAGAGUUCGUGCCCGCGACAAGCUCUGAGGAUGUCUGCUGUUUCACCAUCUUUAUUGUCUUCGUGGCAAAGCAAAUAAAUACGGUCUCAAUUUAAGAGGAAAGUGAUGUUUGGUUUUCCUAGGAAAAGUUCUCGUGCAACAGCAGACCGUGAGUUUUUUACACUGCAGACAAGAUCACAUGAAAGGUUGCUGAUAAUGGGAGGUGCUGGGAGGUUUGUGGCUGUGUCUGCUGUGUAACUCUCACCAGAAUUCAGUGACGCUCUACGGAUCUCUCAAGCCCAGAGUAACAUCAUGAGAAUGCUCAAGAUCUAUCCUCAUGGGUUGAGAAUUGGAAAUUGAAACGGCCACACGUGAAGACUUUAAUACCAGCAGGGGGUGCUACAACCAUGUCUCCCGAACUUGGAACUUUUAAGUCUCCACAAACUGAAUGUCCUUUCCAACUCAAAGUACGGAGUCUAUUCACAGAGAAUAAGAAAAUCUGAACUGCCUUGGUAAUUGUGUAUCUCAGUAGGAAGAUAGUAAGCUUGCGGUUGAGGAUGAACCUUCGCAAAGUUGAGCUACGUCAAACCAUUAAAACUGGCGUUAUUGCUCACUAUACACUCUUGCCGGUGAAGAUUAUUUGAAUAUCCAGUUCUUCGGCGAGCACAUUGUUUGAGGUUCAUUUUCUUAUAUGGAGAAGCCAUGUGCGGUUUCCCAGAGCUGCAGUUGUGGCAGUCGGCAGGCGAGUGGCAAUCCAUAAACUUUAUCCAUACUUCUAUAAUGGCCUGGAUCUAGGUUUUGCUAAGUCUAUAGCGACACCCCUAAAACACUGUAGAUAUUUACUGCACUUGUGGUAGCAGCAUGCUUCUUCACUAAAACUAUUUAAAGACAAGUAUCAUGAGAGACGGCUGAUUCUGAAGCGAAAUGAUUUAGAUUCCAUGCCACAGAUACCAGACAUGCCAGUCAUAUGCGUGGAAGGCAUGGGUAUGUGGCUGAAGCCCAUGGAGCAUGACGAUUGAGAGCACGCCUGGAGCUAUGCUGAAAUACCAGCUUUGCCACCAGUUAUCGUGUGAACUUUACUGCUCACUCUUACUGUAAUUCUGGUGGCUGUCACAAUCCCACAGGGAACGCUGUGGAAGUAGAAAUGUUGAACUCUUCUUUUUAUGAGAUGCCUAUGCACAAUCAUUUGAAAACUCUUGAUUUUAACAGUAACACAGCCGUCCUAAUCUGCAAAGCUAAAGACAUUAAGAAUACCCAUGGAUGGUGUGAUAGUUAAAAGACUGCAUCCUUCUUAACCCAAUGCCUAGCAUCAUGAGCUCAAAAAUGUUAGAUACGAAUUAGUUCUUAAUGCAUUCAGUGGAUUUGUUUUUUAAAUUAUAAAAUCUCCCUGUGCUGGAAGCUUAGAAACUUGCCUGCCUUUUUUGACCCGCGGGAAAGUAAAGGUAAUGUUUGCAUUCCCCAAAUACUGGGUUUUCUGAUUUAUGUGAGAAUAAAGG